GUUGGCUUGGAAGCAGCCAUUCAUUCAAAGAGUGCGUAACAGCUCACUAGUCGAGGGUCCGGGCAUGGAUAAUAAUCGGGUAUAAGGCAGACACCGAAGGCGCGGGAUAGCAUUUAAGAAAGUAUCGGUAGGGGAGCAUACUCACAGCGUGGAAUGGUGUACGUAAGUUAUCCUGGAGCGGUGAGUAAAGCAAAUGUAGGAAUAAGUAACGAUAAGGAGGGUUAGAUUCCCUCCCGCUGUAAGACCAAGGUUUCCCGGGCAAUGCCAAUCAGCCCGGGGUCAGUCGGGUCCUAAGUCUAAGCCGAACGGCGAUGGCGAUGGCAGAGACGGUUAAUAUUCCGUCACUGCCGCAUGGGGCGACGUGGAGACGGAGCAGUGAAACCACCGCGGGGCGACGGAAGUCCCCGUUGAAGAGUGUAGGUGUUGAGGAUGGCAGGCAAAUCCACCGUCCGAGCUGAACUUGAUAGUAUGGAGUCUUCUUCGGAAGAAUCCAAUAGUGUGGGUAAUCAUACUCCCGAGAAAAUCCGCUAAGCUUAACCCAUGCGGCACCCGUACCGCAAACGGACACACGUGGUCGGGUAGAACAUACUAAGGCGUUGAGAGAUUCAUGGUUAAGGAACUAGGCAAAUUGACCCUGUAACUUCGGGAUAAAGGGUCCUCGUGAUGAGCGAGGCGCAGAGAAUAGGUCCAGGCAACUGUUUAACAAAAACACAGGGCUGUGCAAACUCGAAAGAUGACGUAUACAGCCUGACACCUGCCCGGUGCCGGAAGGUUAAGAGGAGAUGUCACACUUAUGUGGAAGCAUUGAAUUGAAGCCCCGGUAAACGGCGGCCGUAACUAUAACGGUCCUAAGGUAGCGAAAUUCCUUGUCGGGUAAGUUCCGACCUGCACGAAUGGUGUAAUGAUCCGGACGCUGUCUCAACCAUGAGCUCAGUGAAAUUGUAGUAUCGGUGAAGAUGCCGAUUACCCGCGAUGGGACGAAAAGACCCCGUGAACCUUUACUACAGCUUAGCAUUGACCUUGGUCAUCCGAUGUGUAGGAUAGGCCGGAGGCUUCGAAGCGGGAGCGCCAGCUUUCGUGGAGCCAUCCUUGAAAUACGGCCCUUUGGCUGUCUGAGGUCUAACGCGUGAUACGCGGACACUGCUUGGUGGGUAGUUUGACUGGGGUGGUCGCCUCCAAAAGCGUAACGGAGGCUUCCAAAGGUGCCCUCGGGUCGAUUGGUAACCGACCUCAAAGAGUGCAAUGGCAUAAGGGCGCUUGACUGGGAGGCAGACAUGCCGAGCAGGCAGGAAACUGGGGCAUAGUGAUCCGGCGGAUGUGUAUGGAAACUCCGUCGCUCAAAGGAUAAAAGGUACUCCGGGGAUAACAGGCUGAUCCCCCCCA
rnacentral:rRNA from 1 species